UUUUCAACCCACAUGGUUGGCUGAAUCUGCCCAUGUGGAACCCACAGAUGAGGAGGACUGACUUUAAUUACAACUUAAAAAGACAUCUUCAAAUCAGCUCAGCCUUGAACAAGCAUGGUUGCUAAAUUACCAGCCUACUAGAAACUUUCUGGAAAAGAACAGGGGCCCACAGCUAGAUGUCUGAGUUAAGGGGUUCAGGCCAGGGUUUGUCAGGUGCAGGAUGGCUGCCUUGUUCAAUAAGAUUAAUAACCAACAAAGAAAAUGUAUAGUAAGAAUUCCAGUAAGUUUUCUAGGUAUUUUCAUAUUACUCAAAAGCAAAGGUCAGUGUGUUAUUUUAAUUGAAUAUUUUAUACCUACAAAUCACGUUUUUUCUUUAAUUAUUCCCAGUAGUCCUGGCUGCACUCAGAAAUAGGAAACUUUCCAAUAACUGCUUAACGUUUUAUGACUUCAUACAUUUCAUGCAGUAGUCUCUCAUCGUACCCUCUACUUCUUUUGAAGCACGUCUGACCAUUGUAAUUAAUUCACUGACAAUUUGUCUGAUGCCUGCCUUGUUCACUGGACGUUCCAGCACCCAACUUAGCACCUUGUGGGUGGAGAAUGGCCUAGUAAGAUGUUUACCAGAUAUUGUUAGGUGAGAAGAACAAGAGUUAUGCAGUAUCAUUCCUUUCUGGUUUUAAAAAUUAUCUAUACAUGCAUGAAGGACUGGAAGGUUAAACACUAAAGGGUUUUUUUUUGUUUCUGUAUUUUCUAGUAUUCUAAAUUAUUCUGUAAUAAAUGAAAAUAGAAAUGUACAUGUAACCUGUCUCUUUAAAAACUUUUAACUACUUACAACUACAAAACGAAAAAUAGCAGUAUAGUGGAGAAACCAGACAAUACUGCCAACAAAUGAUCAAAAUUAACAUUAUCAAGAAGGUACAGAUGUCAUGUGCCUUCAGCUGUGAUACUCUGAGAAUACAAUGCCCCUAUGUAGUGCUCGACUGGUAAUACAUAACCUGAAUCUACCAUGAUAAAACAUCAACUACAAGUCCAGG
rnacentral:lncRNA from 10 species